AACAUCGCGCACCUGCGGGAACCUGCGGAGGGAUCAUUACCGAGUCACGCACUCAAACAACCCUUCUGUGGACCUGAAUUAAAACCGUUGCCUCGGCGGGCGGUUCCCUCUCCUGCUAAACUCACGUGACGUGGGUGGGGGGACCAGACAGUUCGGCACGCUUUAAGGCGUCCGGCGCCAGCCGCUGGCCCUAAACAAUUAAACUCUAGUAACCUUACCUUCUGAGUUUUAAUGCAAAAA
rnacentral:misc_RNA from 1 species